rnacentral:rRNA from 1 species
UAGGGAAUAUUGGACAAUGGCUGAAAAGCUGAUCCAGCCAUCCCGCGUGCAGGUAGAAGGCGCUAUGCGUUGUAAACUGCUUUUCUCUGGGAAGAAACGUCUGAAUUCAUUCGGACCUGACGGUACCAGAGGAAUAAGCACCGGCUAACUCCGUGCCAGCAGCCGCGGUAAUACGGAGGGUGCAAGCGUUAUCCGGAUUCACUGGGUUUAAAGGGUGCGUAGGCGGGCUUGUAAGUCAGUGGUGAAAGCCCGGAGCUUAACUCCGGAAUUGCCGUUGAUACUGCAAGUCUUGAGUACAGUUGAGGUGGGCGGAAUACAUCAUGUAGUAGUGAAAUACUUAGAUAUGAUGUAGAACACCGAUUGCGAAGGCAGCUCACUAAAGUGUAACUGACGCUGAGGCACGAAAGCGUGGGGAUCAAACAG